rnacentral:rRNA from 1 species
CCCUUAGAUGUCCUGGGCCGCACGCGCGCUACAAUGACUCACUCAGAAAGUUUUUCCUGAUCCGGAAGGGUUCGGGUAAUCUUCAUAGCAUGAGUCGUGUUAGGGAUCGAUCUUUGCAAUUAUAGAUCUUGAACGAGGAAUGCCUAGUAAGUGCAGCUCAUCAGGCUGUACUGAUUACGUCCCUGCCCUUUGUACACACCGCCCGUCGCUCCUACCGAUUGAGUGGUCCGGUGAACCUUCUGGAUUAAGCAGCAAUGCUUGAGAAGUUAGGUAAACCUUAUCACUUAGAGGAAGGAGAAGUCGUAACA